CUUCUUUCAGAGAAUGAUACAAGUCAUUAGUUGAGGAUUCAGGAGGUUUAUUUCUAGGACCCUGUGCAUUGGCUCAGAGGCCCUUAUUGUUCCAAAAUUUUAUUUUAAAACUAAUUUAAUGUUUAUUGUUUUGAUCUAAAGGUCAUUUAUUUUUUCAGUGGUCAGCAAAGUGAAAGACUCCUUCAAAGGCUGGUCUAGGGCAAGUCUACAGGAGCAGUUUCACCAUCAGUUUCGGCUGUCCCACAUCUUUGCAGUAAGUUCUGGCUAACCACAAGGCCUUCUGAGUGCUGGUGCUUUGUCACAGAGGAUAGCUGUCUGUUUUCCUAACACUGCAGUCUUAGAUUAGCUUAAAGUCCCAAGACGUUUUCUUCUCAAUCUGUUCCCUUGUUGUGCUGGCCCCAAGCAUCUCUUCAUGGCCACUGAGUAAAUCAGAUCAAAGUACUGAGCCAGCUGAAAAAUAUCCUGCUCACACAAAAAAAGAAAGAAAAAAAGGAGGAGAAGGAGAAGGAGAAGGAGAAGGAGAAGGAGAAGGAGAAGGAGAAGGAGAAGGAGAAGGAGAAGGAGAAGGAGAAGGAGAAGGAGAAGGAGAAGGAGAAGGAGAAGGAAAAGGAAAGAAAAAGAAAAAGAAAAAGAAAAAGAAAAAGAAAAAGAAAAAGAA
rnacentral:lncRNA from 1 species